rnacentral:rRNA from 1 species
UACGUAGGGGGCUAGCGUUGUCCGGAAUGAUUGGGCGUAAAGCGUCCGCAGGUGGCAAUGUAAGUCUGCUGUCAAAGCGUCUGGCUCAACCAGAUAAAGGCAGUGGAAACUACAUAGCUAGAGUAAGGUAGGGGUAGAGGGAAUUCCUGGUGUAGCGGUGAAAUGCGUAGAGAUCAGGAAGAACACCGGUGGCGAAAGCGCUCUGCUGGACCUUAACUGACACUGAGGGACGAAAGCUAUGGGAGCGAAUGGG